ACGGGAGGCAGCAGUGAGGAAUAUUGGUCAAUGGGCGGAAGCCUGAACCAGCCAAGUAGCGUGCAGGAUGACGGCCCUAUGGGUUGUAAACUGCUUUUGUACGGGGAUAAAGUGACCCACGUGUGGGUUUUUGUAGGUACCGUAAGAAAAAGGACCGGCUAAUUCCGUGCCAGCAGCCGCGGUAAUACGGAAGGUCCGGGCGUUAUCCGGAUUUAUUGGGUUUAAAGGGAGCGCAGGCGGUCUGUUAAGCGUGUGGUGAAAUGUAGGCGCUCAACGUCUAACGUGCCACGCGAACUGGCGGACUUGAGUGCACUGAACGUUGGCGGAAUUCGUGGUGUAGCGGUGAAAUGCUUAGAUAUCACGAAGAACUCCGAUUGCGAAGGCAGCUGACGGUAGUGUUACUGACGCUCAUGCUCGAAAGUGUGGGUAUCGAACAGGAUUAGAUACCCUGGUA
rnacentral:rRNA from 2 species